GGGUGUUUAGCUCAGCUGGUAGAGCAUCUCGUUUACACCGAGAGGGUCGGGAGUUCGAAUCUCUCAACACCCACCA
rnacentral:tRNA from 1 species